rnacentral:rRNA from 1 species
GAUGAACGCUGGCGGCGUGCCUAAUACAUGCAAGUCGAGCGGACAGACGAGGAGCUUGCUCCCCUGACGUUAGCGGCGGACGGGUGAGUAACACGUGGAUAACCUACCUAUAACACUGGGAUAACUUCGGGAAACGGGAGCUAAUACCGGAUAAUAUAUUGAACCGCAUGGUUCAAUAGUGAAAGACGGUUUUGCUGUCACUUAUAGAUGGAUCCGUGCCGCAUUAGCUAGUUGGUAAGGUAACGGCUUACCAAGGCGACGAUGCGUUGCCGACCGUAGAGGGUGGUCGGCCACACUGGAACUGAGACGCGGUCCAGACUCCUACGAGAGGGAGCAGUAGGGAAUCUGCGGCAAUGGGCGAAAGCCUUACGGAGCAACGCCGCGUGAGUGAUAGAGAUCUUCGGAGCGUGAAGCUCUGUUAUUAGGGAAGAACAAAUGUGUAAGUAAAUAUGCACGUCUUGACGGUACCUAAUCAGAAAGCCACGGCUAACUACGUG